AAAAUUUUAAAGGUCGAACAGACCUAAUCUUUCAGCUUCUGCACCGAAAUUUAAUUUUAAUCCAACAUCGAGGUCGCAAUCUUUUCUUUCAAUUUGAACUCUAAAGAAAAAUUACGCUGUUAUCCCUAAGGUAAUUACUUCUUAUAAUCACAAAAAAUGGAUCAAUAGUUCAUAAAUAAAUGUAAAAAACAAAAAAAAGUUUAAUCAAUUUUUCCAUCGCCCCAACAAAAUAAUUAUAAGUAUUUACUUUUUAAAUACAACAAAAAUAUAAAAACUAUAAAUUAUCAAACUCUAUAGGGUCUUCUCGUCUUUUAAUAUUAUUUCAGCUUUCUUACUAAAAAAUAAAAUUCUAUAAAAUUAAAAAGAGACAGUCAUUUUCUCAUUCAACCAUUCAUUCCAGCUUUCAAUUAAAAAACUAAUUAUUAUGCUACCUUUGCACGGUCAGGAUACCGCGGCCAUUUAAUAAAUCAUAGAGCAGGUUAGACCUUAAAUUAUAUUCAAAAGGCC
rnacentral:rRNA from 1 species